rnacentral:rRNA from 1 species
CCUACGGGUGGCAGCAGUGAGGAAUAUUGGUCAAUGGACGCAAGUCUGAACCAGCCAAGUAGCGUGCAGGAUGACGGCCCUCCGGGUUGUAAACUGCUUUUAGUUGGGAAUAAAAGGGGGCUCGUGAGCCCCGUAUUGUAUGUACCAUCAGAAAAAGGACCGGCUAAUUCCGUGCCAGCAGCCGCGGUAAUACGGAAGGUCCGGGCGUUAUUCGGAUUUAUUGGGUUUAAAGGGAGCGUAGGCCGGCUUUUAAGUCAGCGGGGAAAAACCAGGGCUCAACUCUGUGGAUUGCUUUUGGAACUAGCAAGCUAGAGUGCUUGAGGGGUAAGCGGAAUUCCUAGUGUAGCGGUGAAAUGCGUAGAUAUUAGGAGGAACACCGGUGGCGAAGGCGGCUUACUGGACAGAAACUGACACUGAGGCUCGAAAGCGUGGGGAGCAAACAGGAUUAGAUACCCGGGUAGUC